GCCGAUCGCGGCCUGCGGGGCGUGAAGCUGGUCGUUGCCGACGAUCACAAGGGGCUGCGGGCGGCUGCGCGUCGGGUGUUCGACGCGACCCACCAGCGC
rnacentral:tRNA from 1 species